rnacentral:rRNA from 1 species
UACAGAGGGUGCUAGCGUUGUUCGGAAUUACUGGGCGUAAAGCGCACGUAGGCGGCUUCGCAAGUCAGAGGUGAAAGCCCGGGGCUCAACCUCGGAACUGCCUUUGAGACUGCGUCGCUCGAAUCCGGGAGAGGCAGGUGGAAUUCCGAGUGUAGAGGUGAAAUUCGUAGAUAUUCGGAGGAACACCAGAGGCGAAGGCGGCCUGCUGGACCGACAUUGACGCUGAGGUGCGAAAGCGUGGGGAGCAAACAGG